AUGGGCGCCUUGGAUCACCUCUCUGAUUUGUGCAGCAUGACGGAGACAAAGGAAGCCCUCAAGCUCAGGAAGAAGCGCCCACUGCAGACGGUGAACAUCAAGGUGAAGAUGGACUGCGAGGGCUGCGAGAGGAGGGUCAAGAACGCCGUCAAAUCGAUUCGGGGUGUGACGAGUGUGGCCGUGAACCCCAAGAUGAGCAAGAUGACGGUGACGGGGCACGUGGAGCCGCGCAAGGUGCUGGAGCGGGUGAAGAGCACGGGGAAGGCGGCGGAGAUGUGGCCGUACGUGCCCUACACGCUCGCCACCUACCCCUACGUCGGCGGCGCCUACGACAAGAAGGCACCGGCGGGCUUCGUCCGCAGCGCACCGCAGGCCAUGGCCGACCCCGCGGCGCCUGAGAUCCACUACAUGAACAUGUUCAACGACGAGGACGUCAACGCCUGCACCGUCAUGUGA
rnacentral:rRNA from 1 species